CUGAAGAAAUCCAGACUGCACCUUCUCAAGAUCAGCCUGCGUCAGCAGGAGGCACAGCUUCUGACAUGCCACUGGGCUUUCUCUUUAAGGUUGAAGUUCUGCAUGAUUUUGAGGCAGCUAACAGUGAUGAGCUUAAUUUAAAACGAGGGGAUAUUGCACUAGUAAUUCCUUCUGAGACCACAGCUGAUCAGGAGGCUGCUUGACAGGCAUUAAGGAAUCUGAGUGGCUUCAGCACAGAGAUGCAAAUGGUUAUAAAGGACUUUUCCCAGUGAACUUCACACGCCACCUGGAACAGUUCUUCUCACAGGCAUACGGAUGUGGUUUGAAGCUCAGUCAGUGGGUUCUUCACCUCCUUGAAACACAGGAGCCCACUUUUUCUGUAGUUCAGGCUGUUAGUGGUUUACAGAUUGGUUGCUUGUUGAAGCAUAUCAAAAUCAGCAUGAGUGCAAGCAGUUAGGCUAGCCAUUUCUGAAGCAGUGUGUGAAAACAAAUCAAAUACAAACAGAAAUGUCCUCA